GAAUCUUGCGCAAUGGCCGAAAGGCUGACGCAGCGACGCCGCGUGCGGGAGGACGCUUUUCGGAGUGUAAACCGCUGUCGGGUGGGACGAAGGUCCCGGGGAGGCAAUGCCCUGGGGAUGACGGUACCACCAGAGGAAGCACCGGCUAACUUCGUGCCAGCAGCCGCGGUAAUACGAAGGGUGCGAGCGUUGUUCGGAAUUAUUGGGCGUAAAGCGCACGUAGGCGGAUGGGUAAGUCUGUCUGUGAAAGCCCGGGGCUCAACCCCGUGGACUGCAGGGGAUACUGCCUGGCUGGAGACAAGCAGAGGUUGGUAGAAUUCCGGGUGUAGCGGUGGAAUGCGUAGAGAUCCGGAGGAAUACCAGAGGCGAAGGCGGCCAACUGGGCUUGAUCUGACGCUGAGGUGCGAAAGCGUGGGGAGCGAACAG
rnacentral:rRNA from 1 species